CCCAGACUCCUACGGGAGGCAGCAGUGGGGAAUAUUGCACAAUGGGGGAAACCCUGAUGCAGCGACGCCGCGUGAGCGAUGAAGUAUUUCGGUAUGUAAAGCUCUAUCAGCAGGGAAGAAAAUGACGGUACCUGACUAAGAAGCCCCGGCUAACUACGUGCCAGCAGCCGCGGUAAUACGUAGGGGGCAAGCGUUAUCCGGAUUUACUGGGUGUAAAGGGAGCGUAGACGGCAGUGCAAGUCCGGAGUGAAAGCCCAGGGCUCAACCCUGGGACUGCUCUGGAAACUGUAAAGCUGGAGUGCGGGAGGGGCAGGCGGAAUUCCUGGUGUAGCGGUGAAAUGCGUAGAUAUCAGGAGGAACACCGGCGGCGAAGGCGGCCUGCUGGACCGUAACUGACGUUGAGGCUCGAAAGCGUGGGGAGCAAACAGGAUUAGAUACCCCGGUAC
rnacentral:rRNA from 1 species